rnacentral:rRNA from 1 species
CCUACGGGUGGCUGCAGUGGGGAAUAUUGGACAAUGGGCGAAAGCCUGAUCCAGCCAUGCCGCGUGUGUGAAGAAGGCCUUCGGGUUGUAAAGCACUUUCAGUGGGGAAGAAAGCCUUGGGGCUAAUACCCUCGAGGAAGGACAUCACCCACAGAAGAAGCACCGGCUAACUCCGUGCCAGCAGCCGCGGUAAUACGGAGGGUGCGAGCGUUAAUCGGAAUUACUGGGCGUAAAGCGCGGGUAGGCGGUCUGAUAAGCCGGUUGUGAAAGCCCCGGGCUCAACCUGGGAACGGCAUCCGGAACUGUCAGGCUAGAGUGCAGGAGAGGAAGGUAGAGUUCCCGGUGUGGCGGUGAAAGGCGUAGAGAUCGGGAGGAAUACCAGUGGCGAAGGCGGCCUUCUGGACUGACACUGACGCUGAGGUGCGAAAGCGUGGGUAGCAAACAGGAUUAGAUACCCUGUAGUC